rnacentral:rRNA from 1 species
GACGAACGCUGGCGGCGUGCUUAACACAUGCCAGUCGAACGAAGUGGCGAACGGGUGAGUAACGCGUAAUCAACCUGCCCUUCAGAGGGGGACCACAGUUGGCAACGACUGCUUAUACCGCAUACUGAAGGAGGGGAUCGCGUCUGAUUAGCUAGUUGGAGGGUUAACGGCCCACCAAGGCGAUGAUCAGUAGCCGGGCUGGUAGAAUGAACGGCCCCAUUGGUACGGAGAAACGGCCCAGACUCCUACGGGAGGCAGCAGUGGGGAAUGUUUCGCAAUGGACGAAAGUCUGACUGAGCAACGCCGCGUGAGUGAUGACGGCCUUCGGGUUGUAAAGCUCUCUUAAUCGGGACGCGGUACCGGAAUAGAAAGCCACGGCUAACUACGGACCAGCAGCCGCGGUAAUUC